AAAGAAAAAGCCAAACCUGCCGCAAGACAGGGACGGGGAAUUACGGGUCUUAUAAAAAUAUUGCCGGUUUGCCUUGA
rnacentral:ncRNA from 1 species